rnacentral:lncRNA from 1 species
CAUGAUUGGAAUUUAAGGUUACUCCCAACUGUGUCGAAGUUUUUACUGAAAGUACGAAAAUCGUUACCAUUUGGAAUGAAUUUCUUAAUUUAAAUGUAUCCGGGCUAUCUUUAGGCAUUAAUUGUGUUGCCUUCAGUGAGAAUUUCAAUCAGAGGCUAGUGGUCUAGGAGGACAUGGUUUUUGUUUAUUUCCCCUAGUUUCAAUUCUUAAUCAAUUGGUUAUCUGAUAUUGUCGUGUUUAAGAAGCAGUUAAGUGCACUGAAUUGAUGCUGCAAAAGCUAACGAAGAAGCUAUAAUGUUCCAGACAUUUUGUCUACUUCAUUGAAGCCUUAGCGAGCAAGAAUUUUUUGGAUGACUGAGAGCUAAAAAAUUGGCAAAUCUAUUUUUGUUACGAACCAAACUGACUCAUGUUUACACAAACAGAGCAAAUAGGUGGAUACCGUUCUACUUGUGUCAAUGGCGUCCAGAUAAAAGAGGACACAAUGUUCGAUCCAAGCAUGCAACAACAGCAACAGUCACAGCAACAGCAAGUGCAACAACAACAACAGCAAGUGCAACAGCAAGUUCAACAGCAACAAGUCCAGCAAGUCCAGCAACAACAGCAACAAGUUCAACAGCAGCAAGUGCAGCAACAGCAACAACAGCAGCAGCAGCAACAAGCUCAAUCACAAGCGCAGCAACCACAGCAGCAGCCGACUCUCUAUGCUGUGGAAAAAAGGAAGCUGAUGGAAAAACUACAAUCACUGAAUUUC